rnacentral:rRNA from 1 species
GACGUAGGGCGCGAGCGUUGUCCGGAUUUAUUGGGCGUAAAGAGCUCGUAGGCGGUUUGUCGCGUCUGCUGUGAAAACUGGAGGCUCAACCUCCAGCCUGCAGUGGGUACGGGCAAACUAGAGUGCGGUAGGGGAGAUUGGAAUUCCUGGUGUAGCGGUGGAAUGCGCAGAUAUCAGGAGGAACACCGAUGGCGAAGGCAGAUCUCUGGGCCGUAACUGACGCUGAGGAGCGAAAGCAUGGGGAGCGAACAGG